UCUUUCGCUUAAUAUUUUCAGAGCACCUACCUAUUAUAGGCACUGUGACUUCUCACAAAACUGGGACAACUAACUGUUUAUCCAACAUCUGCUGGCUAAAUAAAGACAUGAUCUUCACCUUUUGGGAUUGUUAAUUUAAAAUGGUUCCAUAAGAGCAAUGCAAAGACAGAGAUAUUUGGCAGCACUGCAGCUGGUGAUUUAUAUGGCUCUUCACAAGGUGUUAUUUUGGGGUAUCAAGGUAUGGAUGCUUAAAUCAGCUGCAGGAAGUAAGAAAGAAGAAAAAAGGAGUGAUAAAGAUAAAAAAAAAUCAACCUUGGUCCUUCCACCAAGACCCAUUAAUUUCCAUAUCAUCAUCUGCAUAAGAGGGAAGAUUCCUACAUGACCAGGUUACUGCAAGGAUGUGAAUUUUGAAUAUUAAAAUAUUAUACACAAUUGGAAAUUUAUAACGAAAGACAAAAUAUAUGCUGCAGUUGGGGUGGAGAAAUUGAAGGAGAGAAACACAGGUGAAUCUAGAAAUUUGAGAAAAUGUCU
rnacentral:lncRNA from 10 species